AGACGAAUAUGUGGAUUAGUUACUAAAUGGUGGACUUGCUGUAAAUAGAAAAAGAGAAGAGAAAGGGUUGCCACUGUUGAAGGUUGAGGUCGUCGAUCUACUUUCUGGAGGUGUGGAAGGGGAGAAACUGAGUUCGUCUGCUUUGAGGAAGCUUGAGGCAGAGCAAGCUGAACAAAGCGAAGCAAAAACUGCUAUCCAUGAAGCUUCUUAGGGGGGAAAAAAAUACAUGAAUUUAAUUAGAUGAAUGCAUAAACGAGGGGUGAUAUGCUCCAAGCUCCCUUGCAACAAAAGGAUAAUAAGAGCUGACAGUUUGGUUAUAUUCAGAAGCAAUGCCCAUGACCCUGUAACACUUUUACUCUAACGGUCUAACCUUAUAAAAUCAACCUGGCAACAUGUACUCUUUCUACUGACCAAAAUUACAGAUUUUGUAUCGGCAUUGCCUUCUGAAUGUAAAAGGGAAAUCCCCUUGGGUGUUGUCGACAAUGGUGGCAAAACUACAGAUGAAUAUUGUUCACCUUAUGUUAUGUACU